CCUACGGGCGGCAGCAGUGAGGAAUAUUGGUCAAUGGACGCAAGUCUGAACCAGCCAAGUAGCGUGCAGGAUGACGGCCCUAUGGGUUGUAAACUUCUUUUAUAAAGGAAUAAAACGAGGCACGUGUGCCUUUUUGCAUGUACUUUAUGAAUAAGGAUCGGCUAACUCCGUGCCAGCAGCCGCGGUAAUACGGAGGAUCCGAGCGUUAUCCGGAUUUAUUGGGUUUAAAGGGAGCGUAGAUGGGUUGUUAAGUCAGUUGUGAAAGUUUGCGGCUCAACCGUAAAAUUGCAAUUGAUACUGGCAGUCUUGAGUACAGUUGAGGUAGGCGGAAUUCGUGGUGUAGCGGUGAAAUGCUUAGAUAUCACGAAGAACCCCGAUUGCGAAGGCAGCUUACUAAACUGUGACUGACAUUGAUGCUCGAAAGUGUGGGUAUCGAACAGGAUUAGAUACCCUUGUAGUC
rnacentral:rRNA from 1 species